UGGAAAAACAGGAGGGAGACCAUUUGUUUUGUCCCAUUUUCUUCAUUUUCUCUUCAUUUCUUCAAGCUAAAUCAAAAGGGAGUGUGCUUAGGAGGAUUAUAUCCAAGAAAACAAAUUAAAUGACAACUUAGAGAGUUAUAGAGCUUGAGAGAAACAAAGAGAAGAAGCUGGAAAUUGGAAGAGGAGGACAUGAUUUUUGUAAAUUUUUGCAAGAAUUCAUUGAAAUAAGUUAAAGUAGCAAAGGGCAGGAACUUAGGCAGCCAUAUUUUGACUUUGCACCGUUGGAUUAGAUUGAUUUUUUGAUAUGUUAUUAUACUCAAUGUCACCUACAUUCUGACCGGAGGGAUUGCAAAUAUCAGACUUCGUUUGAGGGCUGUCACCGGAGGAACAUUUCUGUAAAAUCACCCUUCAAGACAGGUUUGUUCGUCGGCCAUUAUAUCAUUGUUUCACCGCUGGAUUGGUCUGGAUUUUGGAUACGUUGUUCAUCCAGAUGUUAUAUAAAUUCUGAACGGUUUGGAUCGGAAAAGAACACUUCUACUAGAAAUUGUACUUCCCGAACAGCAGGUCUCCAAAUUUCAGGAGAAGCAUUCACUCGACUUCUCAGGAGCUCGUAUAGUAGGAGCUUAAGGAGGGACUGCAAGAGGGGCACGACAACAACAAGGAAGAGCGAGUUGAGCUUCUGCAGCUGAUUUUUGAAGAAAAAAAAAAGAGAAACUGAUGAAGAUCUAAUUCUUGUGAAGGAUGGAGGCAAAUAUCGUAUCGCUUGGGACGUGAGAAUAAAAGUUCAUUAAACAUGGUCCUUCAGAUUCACGCCAGGAGUAGCAUUUUAGGUCCUCUAGUCUCCUUUUGUAUGAUUGAAUAAGAAGAUGAACAUUAAUUUAUUUUUUCUUUAAGGAACUAAAUGACUUAAUAUGUAAUAGUACUCCUUUUACAUUAAGCGUCGGACAUAAAAAUAUAUUAUUCUGUA